AGUGAACGCUGGCGGUAGGCCUAACACAUGCAAGUCGAACGGCAGCACAGUAAGAGCUUGCUCUUACGGGUGGCGAGUGGCGGACGGGUGAGGAAUACAUCGGAAUCUACUUUUUCGUGGGGGAUAACGUAGGGAAACUUACGCUAAUACCGCAUACGACCUACGGGUGAAAGCAGGGGAUCUUCGGACCUUGCGCGAUUGAAUGAGCUGAUGUCGGAUUAGCUAGUUGGCGGGGUAAAGGCCCACCAAGGCGACGAUCCGUAGCUGGUCUGAGAGGAUGAUCAGCCACACUGGAACUGAGACACGGUCCAGACUCCUACGGGAGGCAGCAGUGGGGAAUAUUGGACAAUGGGCGCAAGCCUGAUCCAGCCAUACCGCGUGGGUGAAGAAGGCCUUCGGGUUGUAAAGCCCUUUUGUUGGGAAAGAAAAGCAGCGGGUUAAUACCCCGCUGUUCUGACGGUACCCAAAGAAUAAGCACCGGCUAACUUCGUG
rnacentral:rRNA from 1 species